GUGGCGAACGGGUGAGUAACACGUGAGCAAUCUGCCCUUGACUCUGGGAUAACUGCGGGAAACUGUAGCUAAUACCGGAUACUUUCCUCGCUGGGCAUCCAGCGGGGAAGAAAGAAUUUCGGUCAAGGAUGAGCUCGCGGCCUAUCAGCUAGUUGGUGAGGUAAUGGCUCACCAAGGCGACGACGGGUAGCCGGCCUGAGAGGGUGACCGGCCACACUGGAACUGAGACACGGUCCAGACUCCUACGGGAGGCAGCAGUGGGGAAUAUUGCACAAUGGGCGAAAGCCUGAUGCAGCAACGCCGCGUGAGGGAUGAAGGCCUUCGGGUUGUAAACCUCUUUUAGCAGGGAAGAAGCGAAAGUGACGGUACCUGCAGAAAAAGCACCGGCUAACUACGUGCCAGCAGCCGCGGUAAUACGUAGGGUGCAAGCGUUGUCCGGAAUUAUUGGGCGUAAAGAGCUCGUAGGCGGUUUGUCACGUCUGCUGUGAAAAUCCGAGGCUCAACCUCGGACUUGCAGUGGGUACGGGCAGGCUAGAGUGCGGUAGGGGAGAAGGGAAUUCCUGGUGUAGCGGUGGAAUGCGCAGAUAUCAGGAGGAACACCAAUGGCGAAGGCACUUCUCUGGGCCGUAACUGACGCUGAGGAGCGAAAGCGUGGGGAGCGAACAGGAUUAGAUACCCUGGUAGUCCAC
rnacentral:rRNA from 1 species